GGGCCCGUCAUCUAGCUUGGAUAGGAUACAAGCUUGCGGAGCUUGGUACGGGGGUUCAAAUCCUCCCGGGCCCG
rnacentral:tRNA from 1 species